CCUUAGCUGCCUCUGGAACCAGAAGUGAGGCUGUCACCUAGCAACCAGGGCUCUGCUUAUAGAAACAAAAGCCUUGGCCCUGGCCAAGAGAGGAAAAUCACCAGUUGGAAUAAAAAGUUUUAUGUUUGAACUAGAGAGCAGCCAAAGGCGCAACGCCUAGCAGGAUGCAAUUGCCAAGCUGUCCUCCCAGAGGAACCCCAGGCUCUCGGAGGCCCGGACACAGAGUUGUGGAGGGCUGAUGGCUUCAGCCGCAACCUUUGGGAGCUUUGCUCACCAUCCGGAGGGGCAAUGGACAUGCCCUGGCCAAGGGAAUAUUACUGGGCCUGAUCAGAACACAGGCCUUAAAUAUUCUUCUGUGGUUUGGCUGGUUCUUCUGCCCUCUGUUAUGAAAAGAAAAGUCCCAGGUCGCCCCUGGUCCAGGGAGAACAAAGAGAUACAUUUUACAGACCUAAACUCAGCUGUGGCCUUAAAUAGAGUCACACCAGCCAAUCUCUACACCAAUAAACAAGAAAAAUGAAAUGUUUAUUGUUAACCACUAAGAUUUGGGGACUAUUUGUUAGGAAGCUUUAUUGCAGCAAUACCUAACUAAUACACUGCUCAUUACUCACUGUCACUGUUUCCUUCUACAUGUCCUGGUACUUGUAUCUUCUGAGGCCCACUUGGUCAGCUUUUCUUUCAAUUCUUCAGGCUUUACCACAUUCCUCUAACAAAUUCCUCUCUUUGCUAAAGUUACUGGGAACGGAUUUCUGUUGCUCGCAACUCAGAAUGCUGACUGAUAGAGUUCAUCUACCAAGUCUCUUCUCCAGAAUUGACUAUGCCUCCAUCUGAAUUCAGAACCUUCCUCAUACGAUCUGAAUGGUUGUUUCCAGCCUUUUCCCCAUCUCCUUUUGUCUUCAGGGAGCCUCUGCUGCAUCCAGCUGAAACAACUUGUGUCCUGAACAGGUUUCCCUCGUUCCUCCCUGGAGGACUUUGCACACAUUUGGUCUGCUGGCAGCAUUCUCUCCAUGUUCAACUGCUGAAGUCCUGUGAACCUUCUAAACAUCUCCUCUUCUAGGAAGCCCUUCCUGAUUCUCCCCUGGAACUCCCAUCUCCCCUCUGUAAUACUGGAUGCACUUGCCCUAGUUGCCCUAGUCUGGAUGGUGCUUACCUUCCUCUGAAGAGCUGCUGUGGUUUAUUACCUUACUAGAGGAGAGUUUAUGGAGACCAGCACUCAGGGGAGUCAGAGAAAUCCCAAAUCUUUUUCAAUCUCACUCAACCCUAUUAAUCACUUUCCAGUGGGAUUUCCUGACACUUGAAAUCAAGGGUCCUGUGUUGUCUACUUUUGUAUUCAUGUGCCAAGCUCAGGGCCUAGAACAAGGGUGUGCUCUAAAGGGUUAUUGGUUAUUUGAAUGCAGGAAUGAACAAAUGUCCAUCUUUCCUAGAAUCUGAGUACAUAAUAGAAAUAUAUUUCUGGCCAAUCACGUGGUUCCUUUGAUCUGGAUGAAACAUAGCCAUGAUUUUUUCACCUUGUCCAAAGAUGAAGUUGGGUCUUGGGCAACCAUCAAGACCUGGGGGUCAACCACAGACCAAACAUUAUUGAAAAACACCAGAUGAAGCACCCAACACUUAAAAUUCACUCAGUUCUUCAUGUUACAGCUGAUGGGACCACAAUGGCUUAUGCUUGCAGGCUCAGUACAUAUAAUCCAUGAAAUUGAGGUUUGGUGUAGGGAAGCAGGAAUCUGAAACCCAUGCAGACAAUAAUGGGAAGGAUGGGAACUGGACUCCAGACCUCCAAAUUGUCAGUUCUCUAUUCUUUACAAGGAUAGAACGUUCCAUGUCA
ensembl:lncRNA